UUUAUUUUUAGGUUGGGCCCAUGAAGUGUGUGCCCUGUAUAUUCCAUAGGUACAAUUUGCCAAUGCUUCCACAACGGAACCAAUUGUUUUACAGUCUAUUCCCCGUGAUCAUUGUAAUAAGGUAUCAAGAGUCUGUUAAAUUUGAAUUAAUUAUUAUUUUGCAUAAUAUUCAUUACAAUGUAUCAUACCUUCUUUUUUGAAAAGCAGUCCUAUAUUAGAAUGUUACUUGUCCCCCCCAAAGUUAUUUGUACCCCAAGAUACGGUUUUUAUUGUUGGCCUUAAAAAAAAAAACAGUUUGCUUUUUUCCUGUAUAUUUUUCUUCAUUUAGUAUGUUAUUGUUUUAUUCUCCUCUGCGUUUUAGGUUUCACCAUUACCCAAUGUGCCUUUAAAUACAAUUUUACCACUUAAUUGAAGGUACACGUUCCAACUGUGGAAGAAAUUGCAGCCAGCUUUAAGAUUUUAAAUGUUUUUGUGCAAAAAAACUUUUUAUUAUGUAAUUAAUAUUUAUUUUAUUUUAUUUUAUUUUACUUUUUAUUUUUAUUUUUUUUGAGACAGAGUCUCACUCUGUCACCCAGGCUGGAAUGCAGUGGCACGAUCUCGGCUCACAGCAACUUCUGCCUCCUGGGUUCAAGCAAUUCUCCUGCUUUAGCCUCCUGAGUAGCUGGGAUUACAGGUGCCCACUAUCACGCCCGACUAAUUUUUCUAUUUUUUAGUAGAGAUGGGGUUUUUUCUGUGUAUUUUUGCUUAUGGUAUAUACUUACAAAAAAGUUGAAUCAUUUUGCUUGAAUUUUUUGUUUGCUUUUGAAAAUUACACAGCAUCUUUUGUGUGUGAAUAAAUUGUGUUUCCGCUGUAUUUUUAAUAGAUACUUAGUCUGUAAUACAGAAUAUCAUGAGAUUCAAUAAACUGUAAAUUAAGCAACCCUUUGUGGUUGAAGGGCCUAGUUUGGUGUCUGGCAUGUAGUAUACACCGCUAGCAUCUGUUUAAAAGUGUGUGAACAUUUUGGAAGCUUCAAGAAAUGCAUUGUGUGAAAUUGUGCUCUAGAACUUACACUGCAUUAGCUGUAUGUGAGAUUGCUCAUAACCCUAUAUUAUGUUAGGUACACUGUGUUACCCUGAAAAAAAUCUUUGCCAUUCUUUCUAGUAAAAAAAUAUUAAAA